AUUGAACGCUGGCGGCAUGCCUUACACAUGCAAGUCGAACGGCAGCACGGGAGCAAUCCUGGUGGCGAGUGGCGAACGGGUGAGUAAUAUAUCGGAACGUGCCCAAUCGUGGGGGAUAACGCAGCGAAAGCUGUGCUAAUACCGCAUACGAUCUACGGAUGAAAGCGGGGGACUCGCAAGGGCCUCGCGCGAAUGGAGCGGCCGAUAUCAGAUUAGCUAGUUGGUGGGGUAAAAGCCCACCAAGGCGACGAUCUGUAGCUGGUCUGAGAGGACGACCAGCCACACUGGAACUGAGACACGGUCCAGACUCCUACGGGUGGCAG
rnacentral:rRNA from 1 species